GCAGAGAUCGGAAAGCACACCAAUGGCGAAGCCAGCUCCACUGGGGCAACCCUGACGCUCAGAGACGAAAGCUAGGGGAGCGUACAGGAAUAGAGACCCUGGUAGUCCUAGCCCUUAACGAUGGAUGCUGGAUGUGGGGCCAUAGCGCUCCGUGUCCGAAGCGAACGCGUUAAGCAUCCCGCCUGGGGACUACGGCAGCAAGGUUAAAACUCAAACAGAAUUGACGGGACCCCGCACAAGCAGCGGAGCGUGUGGUUUAAUUCGAUGCUACACGAAGAACCUUACAUGGGUUUGACAUCUAGGUGGUAGUGAAGCGAAAGCGGAGCGACCCUUCGGGGAGCCUAGACAGGUGCUGCAUGGCUGUCGUCAGCUCGUGCCAGUGAGGUGUCGGUUUAAGUCCCGUAACGAGCGCAACCCUUGCCCUCUCGUUAUACGUGUCAUGAGGGUGACUGCCUGGCGGUAAGCCGGAGGAAGGUGGGGAUGACGUCAUAGUCAGCAUGGCCUUUAUAUCCAGGGCUACACACACGCUACUAUGGCCAGUACAAAGGGCAGCGAAGCAGCGAGGUGGAGCGAAUCCCAGCAAAGUUGCUCGUAGUUCGGAUUGCAGGCUGCAACCCGCGUGCAUGAAGCUGGAGUUGCUAGUAACCGAGCGUCAGCUAUAGUGCGGUGAAUACGGUUCCCGGGGUUUGUACACACCGCCCGUCACGUCAUGGGAGUCGAUAACGCCUGAAGCCGGUGGCAUAGCUCGGAAGAGAGGGCGCUGU
rnacentral:rRNA from 1 species